GAUUUUAUGCAUUACAGGUGAACUACAGGUGAAGUCACUCAAUCCAGUCCCAGAGGCUUGUUGGGGGGACCAUACAAGGACUCCUGGUGACAGCUAGCUGAAAGAGCUACCCGGAUUCAUAUCGCACGGGGGAGGGUAGGACACAUGACACUGUCGAACAAAAAACAGUGUUCGAGAGGAGAACUGGAAUUAACAGAAUUCCGGGGGCCAUCUCUCGAAUGAAGUAACCCUCCCUGUCCUGUCACCCCUGUUUUUGUUCAUAGAAGUGAAGAUGUGUCUGGCUCUUGCUAGUGAUGUGUUCUCUGGGAGAGGGUGGGGCUUUACAGGAGUGUCAGUGUACCUGUGUAAUGGGGGAGGGUGUCCAUAUGGGGAUUACAUGAUAACCAACUUGGGACAAUUCUAGGAUUGGAGAAGAGGGUAUUAUUAUAGCAUAGGGGAUCCCACAAAGGUGGAUAGGUUUUCCAUCAUAUGGGGAAAACCUGGGAGCACUGUUGAACUUUGUAAAGGUGAUGAAAUCCUACUAACCAUCAAAACUAUUAAGCUCUCUGAUGCAGGCACUUACACCCUCGGACUACAAAGGACCGGGACAGACACGAUGGGUGUGUUUUCUAUUAGGGAGCUGCCAAAACCAGAGGUCCCAGACGAACCAGGGCCAGACACACUCCUCUACCACCCCUGGACCGAACCUGCCACCUACCACCACUGUGUUAAAAAAUCCCAUUCAGAGGCUGGAGACCUCAUCCUUAGGGUCCAGAGGGUGAACCCUGAAUAUUGGAGGGGACGUUCCAGGCGUGCCACCACCCCAUCUAGUGGUGAUCCGACGUACAUAGACGCCAUUGGAGUCCCAAGGGGAGUUCCUGACGAGUACAAAUUGGUGGAUCAGGUGGCAGCUGGGUUUGAGUCCUCCAUUUGUUGGUGGUGCACUGUUAAUAAAAAUGUGGAUAGAAUACAUUCCAGAAUCGCAUUGCAGUGGAUAUGCUACCGGCAGAGAAAGGUGGAGCUUGCACUAUGUUUGGUGAACAGUGUUGUAUUUUCAUCCCUAAUAACAUAGCCUCCGAUGGUAGCUUGACCGUAGCCCUAGAAGGUUUGAGGACUCUUAAUGGUAAAAUUAAAUCUCAUUCUGGGAUUGAUACCUCAAUGUGGGACUCCUGGAUGAGUGCCUUUGGUAAAUAUAAAACCCUGGUCUCCUCCAUUUUGGUCUCCAUUUCGGUGUUCGCGGCCAUUUUGGUUCUCUGUGGAUGCUGUUGCAUUCCAUGUAUCCGUUCCCUUACCACUAGGGUUAUCUCUAGAGCUAUUGACCCUUCCCCCCUUUCCCAGAUGUUUCCUCUGCUUGCUAAUGACCUGCCCGAAUUUGAGUAUGAGGUUGAGAGUGCCUACUAGGUUUUGUUUUUCUUUUCAUGAAAUGCUAUGACUGCUGAAAUAAGGGAUAAUGAGUGACACCCUAGAGGGUGUCAAAAAGGGGGGCUUAAAUUUCACACCAUUUUCUUUUGUUCUGUUUUUGAAUGAGCUGUUGUUCUCUUUUGACAUGAGGGUUGCAAGUUCCUAGGUGGCUGGUAGCCAAUCUAGUACAUAGUGGGAUCGAAUGGAGAACAUGAAGGUAUUUCAAACUUUGUACUUGUUAGCCUAGUUUAUGUCACAUCUCUUAGGAGAUGUGAAGAGAGGGAAUCACAAAACUUUUCCUUCUGGGAAAAGUUUUCUUUUUGUGUCUGGAUCUAGUUAGGUUGUGUCACGUCUCUGGGGAGACGUGAAGAGAGGGAUUUGUAAGGAAGUGCUAUUUCUUAUGCAGGUGACCAGCCUACUGCUAUUACAUUGCUAUAACUGAGACAACGUAUUUUCACAGUAAAACAUGUUAGGUCCCAUACAGGAUAGCUCCCACACCCACACACACAGCACACACACACACAUUACACACACUAACUGCCGAGGACACACAGAUAAGACAUACACCCACACAUUGGGAGGAAGAGACAGCCUUGACUUGCAGAAACCAGCGCACACACCUAAUCUCCUUUUUAGCUGAACAUUGUGUGACAAAGAACAAGACUCAGAGGGAUGACGGACGGCCCAACAGGGCCAAUCCAAGAAGACUACACCUCAGCCUGAACCAACCCGAAGACCCGAUCUUCUAGAAUCAACCUACUUUCUGUUCUGUAUAUGAGACAUGUGCACUCUGUUAUCUGCGCUUCUUUUCUGCUGGUUCCUUAAGAACCGAAUGAAAUGGCCCGUAUACGUUGUACCAGAUAUCUUUACUCAUAAUUAAACUGUCACUUGUCAUACAAUAGACCACCUUGUCUGAAUCGAUCCUUGACCGGCUCACCCUCCUACAUAUCCCAUUAUCAACACAAGCGAUAAUAUUGAAAUGGAAGGAGUAUCAGACCACUGUAAAUCUACCAAGACCUGGCCGUCCCUCUAAACUUUCAGCUCAUACGAGGAGAAGA
rnacentral:lncRNA from 13 species